UAUUAUUUUAACACCUUAGAUCACAGCAGAGGAAAUUUUAUACUUGUGGGAGUGAAGAUGGGAGUACUGGUUAAAGAAGAGGAAAAUAAGUGGGUUUCUUUCCAGAGCGAAAAAUGUUCUAAAUUCACAAAGCAUGUAAACUGAAGACACUUGCUAAUGAUGAAUCUAAGGUGUUAACAGAAGAGUUCUACUCAGAGUAGAUAAAAAGACGAAUCCUAGAGUUAGAUUUCCGGUGUAAAUCUUAGCUCCAUCACUUAGCGUGAUUUUGGGUACAUUGCUCAGUUCUGUGCUUCAGUUUUAUUAUCAAUAAAAUGGAGUUGGUAACAUCUACCUCAUUGCUGUAUUGAGAAUCCACAGGCCGUGGGUUCUAGGAAAGGACUUAGGAGUGCCUGGUUUGGUCAACGUGGGGUAUAAUCCUAGUUGUAGUUAUCAUUAUUCCUAUCUGUGGUACUAGUGUCAGUGGAAUACUGAGAUAUCUUUUCUUCAACUCGAAACUGGAUCACCCAGGAGUUCCCUGGUGGCCUAGCAGUUGGGUAUCAGGCGUUGUCAAUGCUGUGACUCAGGUUCAAUUCCUGGCGUGCGUACCAUGGGUUUUGCCAAAAAAAAUUUUUUUUAGUGGAUCACCUAGGUUGAAUCUUGCUCUUUUCAAUUCAAUCUCUAAAUCAGUCAGUCACCUUUCUGAAAUUCCAGUGUGAUCAUAUAUCUGACACAAACUAAAGACAAAUCUCAAAUUUCUUACACAGUUUGGUUUUUUGUCUUUCCGGGUCAUUUACACCUUACAUUUUAAGAUCCAGUCCUCUUGAAUUCCAGACAAUUCAAUUGCCGGCCUCCAGGGUUCAGUAGAAGUAGUUACCUUUGUGGUUCCUCUGUAGUUCCUUUAUGUGAGUAAUUUCCCCCCAUCUUUUAGCUCUUGGUUUAGUCGUCCCUUUCACUGGAGUGCCUUACCUAAUGUCUGUGCUGGAUUUAACUGCCCAUCCUAGGAGCUUCCAGAGUGCUGUCCUUCUAAUCAUAGCUGUUAGCACUAAGCAUUAACACUCCGUUACAGAGUUAGAUUUUCCACAAUAAAUUCCUUGGAGGCAGGGACUAGGUUAUUCACGUCUAGCAACCGCACAGCAGUUAACACAAUAAAGCCUCAGUAAAUAAAUAAAUGAGAGUAAGAGUGGUGAUUAUCUCUGGGGAGGGAAUGAGUACUGACUGGAAAGAAGUAGGAGGAAACCUUCUGGUUUGAUAGAAAUCUAGAUCUUGAUCUGAAUGAUGGUUAUGUAAGUAUAUACAUGUGUAAACAUUAUUGAGCUGAAUUCUUUAAACUUCUGUCCUUUUUUUUUGCUUCACUAAGAAUGUUUUAUUCCUCAUUUUUAAAAAUGAAAAAAAAAAAAAAAGAGUGCAUAGAAAAGGCAAAACUCAUCUACACUAUUAGAAGUCAGGAUCCUAGUUAACCCUUGUGGUGAACUUGUGACUGGAAAGGAACAAGAGUAGGCAUCUAGAAAGUCAGUAAUUGUAAUUUUGUCUCAUUUAAUGUAAGUCCUAGUUACCUCAGUAUUUUUAGUUUGUGAAGAUCCAUCAAGCUGUACAUAUAUGCACAUUUAUGUGGGUAUAUUACACUUGACAGGUUAAAAGAGUGAGAAUGAGUAAAUAACAAAUGUACAUGCACAUAUAUACACACAUAAAUAUAUAUAUACACACAUAUAUUUAUAUAUGUACAAAGACAUAUGUGUAUACAUAUAUAUAUAUGACAUAAAGACCUAUUUGUAGUGAAACAAAAAAUCUGUUUCUUCAAACCUUAGUCCCACAUAAGAAUCAGCUAAAAUAAAAUUUCAAAACCCACUUUUUAUUUCUAUCACAUGGCCCAUCUGUGUCGAUGGAUAUUUGAAAGGACAGAUUUGUAUUAUGUAUACAUGGUAAUAGUACAUAUAUUAGUAACUUUUGCACAACUGCAAAUCUCUGCAACACAACUCUUUCAGAUGUUAGUUUUAACUAUGGGUUUUAAGAACAAUUAGCUAGAAUUAAGAUGUUAGUUUUAACUCAUGGGUUUUAAAAACAAUUAGCUAGAAUUAAGUUUGGUGUAAAGUGUCCUUUCAAUUAUUUUCUUUCACAGAUCUCUUCAGAGUGACAAAAAUCUUUACACGUGCCUCUUGCCUCAGAUGAACUAUUGUCUAAAACCAGACUUAAAUAGAAAUGUAAUUUAGAUGUUUCUACUAAAGAUGUUCUUAAAACAUUCCCAGGAAUUUAAAAAAAAAAAAGAGUUUCACAGAUUUUUGUCCAAUUCCCCUGUAAAGCAUUUAUGUAUGAUUUGGACUCUAUUUGCUAUACCUAUGCUAACAGCAGGAACUCUUAAUAUAGGUAUACAUUUAGCAGCCACAUUGUGAACAGCAUGAAUAAAGGAAUAAACAUGACCUCCAAUCACAAAAUCAGCACAAUGCCCUUAGCACCCAAAAGCAUGGAGGGAAUUUUCAGCUCCAGGGUCCCUGAACAGUACUCAGCAAUAUUUCAGUCAACUAAUUGCAGUCAAGUCUGUGUCGAACAGCAAACCAAAGGGAUAAACAGGUUCCAAGCCACAAGGCAGAAGCAAGAAGUUGGGACCCAAACCACACACCCUACUCCACAUCAUUUCAAUGAAUGUUUGAAAAUAUAAAACUGUAAUGUUUUUAAAUAGAAUAAUACUUACCGCAAAUCUUUUUAUAGUAUGGUAGACUUCAAAGUGCCAAGAAUGCAUUUUAUUUAAGAAAAAAACCUUAUCAUUACAUUUUUCCAAAUUCCCUUUUCCACAUAUGACUGAUUUUCCAAAUACAUAUUUCAACAACCUUCUAGUACUAUGUUUGGAGAGGGAUUUGGGGGCAGCUUUCCUCUCCACAGAAGGCAAGAUCUAGAAAUACAUCAGUCAUUCAUGUCAAUUUGUGGAAGUUCAACUUGCCAAAGGUAUCUGAUAAACUUUAAUCACUGUCACAACUCUAAAGGUUACUGAGCAACUCCAACACAAAUUACAACAGUAUUGCACAAAUGUGAGAGUGAAUGCAUGUGUAUGUGUGUGUGCCCUUGACAGUUAAAUCUUUUGGUAUAUCAGCAUUAAUUUCAGCUACAUACAACAACAAUAACAAUAAUAGCACCAACAAAAGAUGACAAAUAAGAUGAACAUUUGUUCCCGUUCAGUAACAGAUUUAGGCAGCCCAGGGCUGUUUUUUAGCUUCCUGAUAAAACGUCCAUCUUUAUUGUGCUGUCUCAUUUCACAAGACGGAUGCUUAUGCUCUAGUCAUCAUGUUCACAUCCCAGAAAAAAAAAUUAAAGAGAUUAAGAAUGGAAAUCUCAGUCCCUUUGAGAAUACUUCCUGAAAGCUGCACAUAACACUGUUUUUCAUUGAUCCAAAUUUAUCCAUAAGGCCACAACCAAUAGAAGGGAAAAUCAGUUUUUAGAGGAGCAGCAAGGUAGUCAGCUAAAAUUUGAGAUCUUAUAAAUAAGAAAAAGAGGAGAAUUGAUAUUUAGAGCAGACAGUGGUUUUUCUCUUACUUAAAAAUAUUAAAACAGCCUCCUAGAUGAUUCAAUUAAAUAAUUAAAAUGAAAACAAUCAGACUAUUAUUUACCAUAGUGUAAACAAAGGUAAUUAAAUUUUGUUUUUAAACUUAAACACUUAAAUUUAAAUAUUUUUAAAAUAUUUCACUGACUCAUAAAUAUAAGUAAAGAAAUAUUUCCAUGUAUCAGAGUAUACAAAACUUUAAAAAUUGUAUAUAUUUUAUUGGUAGGGAGGAGUAGAAGAGGGGGCUGAUUAAUUUCUUUUAAACGAGAAAAGUUAACUUAGAAAUAAUUUCAUCCCACUCCUAAAUCAGAAUUAAUGUUCUGCGUUGGGAGUUAGGCUGUCAUAUUUGAGAACCACUGAUUUGAACAUACUAUUUCUGGAAAUGAUUUCUUUUAGUAAUUACUAACAGUUUAUGAAAAGAUCUGCAAUUUUAUUUUUCCAAGUGUUCAAGUAAUCUUAACUCAUCAAAAUGCUAAAAUCUUUUGUAUCAGAGUUGUCUGAGACUUACGCAUGUAAAUGGCCUGCCUGUUCCCUGACAGCUGGAACCUCUUAGCAUGGAUAUGCAGCCUCAGCCCCAUCCUAAGCACUGGGACUCACCUGGCCUCUAAGUAAGACUCAAUCCACAGCUCACUGCUCAACUUGCACUGACCUGGCAACCAAGUUUUAGUAGCAGAGCCUCUAAACUUUGCUACUGCCAGGCUUUUCUCAUAUCAGGCUCUCCAAGAACCCUUCCACAGCAUAGUAGACAGCACCUAUCAAGACUGUGAAGGAAUUUUCCAAUAAUAAGAAGCCACUACCUCAUGAGUAGCCAUUUAUACUGUUUAUUUGAACACUCAUACAUGUAUUUAGUAAACCAAUACUGAAAACUGACUACAAACCAGGCAUGCUGCCAGACACUGGUAAUAAAAACAUCAAACACUCAGUUGCCUACCCUCUAGCAGGAGAGACAGCUGUAAUUGUUAAAAUGAUAUUCCUACUAUAGAGUUAGAUUUAGUCUCCUAGGAAUUUUCAUCCAUUGUUCUUAAGUCUGCAGUAUAUUCACAUGGAAAAGAUUCUACUCAGACUUCCACAGAAUUACCCUCAAUCUGGAAUAUUUCAAAUAAGAUUAUAUUCCUUUUAACAUUCCCAAAACUUCAUUGCAUUUCCUGUUUCUUACAAAUAACCUUCAUUCAAAAUCAUACACUCAUUCUUUUCUCCACCAGGCUCUUAAAAUCCUAGCACUGUAACUCUUAAAUGAAACAGUUUUUAGUUUCUUCAUUCUCUUUUAAGAUAAGUCUCAGUUUGAAAAUAUGUUUUAAAAUGAAGCACUGAGAAAAGAAUACAGAACAAGAAAAUACCUAGUAUAUCUUAUCUCUACUUAAUACUUAGUUAUUUCACUGAGGAGAACAU
rnacentral:lncRNA from 1 species